rnacentral:rRNA from 1 species
GAUAAACGCUGGCGGCGUGCCUUAUGCAUGCAAGUCGAACGAGGCUAGGACUUCGGUCCGAAACCUAGUGGCGGACGGGUGAGUAACACGUACGUGACCUGUCCGGAAGUGGGGAAUAACCAGCCGAAAGGUUGGCUAAUACCGCAUAUGGUCACCCCUUGGAAGGGGAUGACCAAAGCCGAAAGGCGCUUCCGGAGGGGCGUGCGGCGGAUUAGCUUGUUGGUGUGGUAACGGCGCACCAAGGCGAUGAUCCGUAGCUGGUCUGAGAGGAUGGUCAGGCCACACUGGGACUGAGACACGGCCCAGACUCCUACGGAGGCAGCAGCAGGGAAUUUUGCGCAAUGGCGAAAGCCUGACGCAGCAACGCCGCGU